GACGAACGCUGGCGGCAGGCCUAACACAUGCCAGUCGAGCGGACCUUUCGGGGUCAGCGGCGGACGGGUGAGUAACGCGUGGGAAUAUGCCCUUCUCUACGGAAUAGUCCUGGGAAACUGGGGGUAAUACCGUAUACGCCCUUUGGGGGAAAGAUUUAUCGGGGAAGGAUUAGCCCGCGUUGGAUUAGGUAGUUGGUGGGGUAAUAGCCUACCAAGCCGACGAUCCAUAGCUGGUUUGAGAGGUUGAUCAGCCACACUGGGACUGAGACACGGCCCAGACUCCUACGGGAGGCAGCAGUGGGGAAUCUUAGACAAUGGGGGCAACCCUGAUCUAGCCAUGCCGCGUGAGUGAUGAAGGCCUUAGGGUUGUAAAGCUCUUUCAGCUGGGAAGAUAAUGACGGUACCAGCAGAAGAAGCCCCGGCUAACUCCGUG
rnacentral:rRNA from 1 species